rnacentral:lncRNA from 1 species
CAAGCCUAUAAAUGAAAAAAUAAAACUAAUUUAAUCUCACAUAACGUGAUCCCAAAUUGAACUCGUAUCGAGGUUUUAACCCAUAAGCGACUAAACCUUACAUUCAAUCGAUGAACAGUAAUUCCCACACAAAUUAAGACUCCGAUUGGUGAUUACUAGCCCUUGAAUCCUCCCCUAAUUGGCAUAAACAAAACACUUCAGAAGAAAGUUAACAAACGGAGACAAAUCACUUAUCUAAAACUUAUCAAACAAUCGCAGACAAACGUAGAGCGACAUGAGGCAGAGUGGGAAAAGAAAAAUCAAGAAGAUGAAGGGUGAAAGGGAGUAAAAAUUCGGCCGCAAUGAAGAGAAAAAUGGCAAGAGGGUGGAGGGAUUUUGGGGGAAGUAAAAAAAAUAAAAAAAUAAAAAAAAGAUGAACAAAAUAUUUGAUAACCACCCCAAUCCCUUAUUUCUCUCCAUCAAUCUCCCUAGUAAAUGCACUAUUCAGAUUUUUAGUCCAUCUCAAGCUCUCCUGGACGCACGAGCAAAAAUAAUGCCCACACCAAGAUUCAAACACAGGACCUCCUUCACACCAAAACUUCACUCCACCAG